rnacentral:rRNA from 1 species
ACGGGUGCGUAACGCGUAGGAAUCUGCCCUGAAGCGGGGGACAACCCGAGGAAACUCGGGCUAAUACCGCAUAAUCUCGAGAGAGAAAAGCUGGGGAAACCUGGCACUUCAGGAGGAGCCUGCGUCCAAUUAGCUAGUUGGUAGGGUAAAAGCCUACCAAGGCGAUGAUCGGUAGCUGGUCUGAGUGGAUGAUCAGCCACACUGGGACUGAGACACGGCCCAGACUCCUACGGGAGGCAGCAGUGGGGAAUAUUGGACAAUGGGGGCAACCCUGAUCCAGCAAUGCCGCGUGUGUGAAGAAGGCCUUCGGGUUGUAAAGCACUUUAGUUGGGGAAGAAGAUGUGUAGUUUAGGAGAUGACACAUUUGACGGUACCCAAAGAAUAAGCACCGGCUAACUCUGUGCCAGCAGCCGCGGUAAUACAGAGGGUGCGAGCGUUAAUCGGAAUUACUGGGCGUAAAGGGCGCGUAGGCGGAUAUUUAAGUUGGAUGUGAAAUCCCUGGGCUUAACCUAGGAACUGCAUCCAAUACUGGAUAUCUAGAGUGCAGUAGAGGGUAGUGGAAUUUCCGGUGUAGCG